CGAAAUGCGUUGAGGCACAGUAGUUGACUGGACAUCUAGGGGUAAAGCACUGUUUCGGUGCGGGCCGCGAGAGCGGUACCAAAUCGAGGCAAAUUCUGAAUACUAGAUAUGACCUCAAAAUAACAGGGGUCAAGGUCGGCCAGUGAGACGAUGGGGGAUAAGCUUCAUCGUCGAGAGGGAAACAGCCCGGAUCACCAACUAAGGCCCCUAAAUGACCACCCUAUCAUUAAUAGACAAUACCAUGCAUAUUAUCUAUAUCUAUGGAAUUCG
rnacentral:ncRNA from 1 species